CACCGACAUCAGGGAUUCGUUCUGCGAGCCUUCGCCCACCGCCAGGUACGAAUGCAUGCCCAGCUCUUUCAUCUGCUGUUCGCCAAUCACGCGGGUGACGACGUUUUUGCUAAAGGAGUCGGCCAGCUGGCGCGCCUGAGAGGCGAGAUACGCGGCAUUACAGAUGUUUGGCGGCAUAUUGCCCAGAUCUUUAGC
rfam:Cronobacter sakazakii ATCC BAA-894, complete genome.